rnacentral:rRNA from 1 species
UACGGGGGAUGCAAGCGUUAUCCGGAAUUAUUGGGCGUAAAGUGUCUUAAGGUUGUUAAAAAAGUCCUAAUAUAAAUUUUUCUUAAACGAAUAAACUAAUUUAGGAGACUUUUUAACUAGAGAGAUAUUAAAGGUAGAAGGAACUCCCAAUGUAGCGGUUAAAUGUUUUGAUAUUGGGCGGAACACUAGAUGCGAAAGCUUUCUUACUAGAUUUUCUCUGACAUUGAUAGACGAAAGCUAAGGGAGCAAAUGGG